rnacentral:ncRNA from 2 species
UGAAGAUGAACGGGAGAGACCGGGCGCCAAGUCCCGGCACCGAAGGAGCAAGCCGCCGAUACUGCCGUUCGGCGAGGAAUCUCUCAGGUAGAAGCACCGUCGUCCGACG